rnacentral:rRNA from 1 species
AGAGACUGCCGGUGACAAGCCGGAGGAAGGUGGGGAUGACGUCAAGUCCUCAUGGCCCUUAUGUCCUGGGCUACACACGUGCUACAAUGGCGGUGACAGUGGGAAGCUAGGUGGUGACACCAUGCUGAUCUCUAAAAGCCGUCUCAGUUCGGAUUGCACUCUGCAACUCGAGUGCAUGAAGGUGGAAUCGCUAGUAAUCGCGGAUCAGCAUGCCGCGGUGAAUACGUUCCCGGGCCUUGUACACACCGCCCGUCACACCAUGGGAGUUGGUUUGACCUUAAGCCGGUGAGCGAACCGCAAGGACGCAGCCGACCACGGUCGGGUCAGCGACUGGGGUGAAGUCGUAACAAGGUAGCCGUAGGGGAACCUGCGGCUGGAUCACCUCCUUU